ACCCCCGUGACCAGGCAACCGCAUCUAGUGCAGCCCCACCUCAGGCUCACUUGGCUGGAGACAUCCGCUCCUGGAAGAUGUUCUCCUGCUGCCGGCCCACCUCUGGGGGCUCUGGCUCCCAGGAACCCCAGGGGUGCCGCUUGUUCCAAUGCUGUAGGCUUUGGCUCCAGCAUAAAAACCAACGCCUCAGGGCGUUUAUCAGGAGGCGCCGUCAGGGUGCAAGGGCCUCGGCCGGGAAGGCGCCUCCCAUCUGCCCGACGAAGCCCAGCCGGACGGAGCUGCUGGAGCAGGAAUUCCAACAACUGCUGCCCGCCUUGCUGCGCAGGGAUGUCAUCUCCGUUUCAUCUUUUUAGACAACUGUCAUGGAUUUGCCACCACCGACGAGGUGCUGGAUCUGCUGUUUACGAAAUAUGGGUGCAUCGCAGCUGCGUGUGGUGGCGACGACGCGGUCCUGCAGCGCUGGAAACUGGCCAUCUGCUGCAUCCUGGAGAUAUGAUGGAC